rnacentral:rRNA from 1 species
UACGUAGGGAGCAAGCGUUGUCCGGAAUCAUUGGGCGUAAAGCGCGCGUAGGUGGCUUCGUAAGUCCGUUGUGAAAGUCAAAGGCUCAACCUUUGAAAGCCGAUGGAUACUGCGGAGCUAGAGUACGGAAGAGGCGAGUGGAAUUCCUGGUGUAGCGGUGGAAUGCGCAGAUAUCAGGAGGAACACCAAUAGCGAAGGCAGCUCGCUGGGACGUUACUGACACUGAGGCGCGAAAGCAUGGGGAGCGAACAGGA